rnacentral:rRNA from 1 species
UGACCUCGGAUCAGGUAGGGAUACCCGCUGAACUUAAGCAUAUCAAUAAGCGGAGGAAAAGAAACCAACAGGGAUUGCCUCAGUAACGGCGAGUGAAGCGGCAUAAGCUCAAAUUUGAAAUCUGGCUCUUUCAGGGUCCGAGUUGUAAUUUGUAGAAGAUGUUUCGGGUGUGGCCCCGGUCUAAGUUCCUUGGAACAGGACGUCAUAGAGGGUGAGAAUCCCGUAUGUGACUGGGUGCCUAUGCCCAUGUGAAACUCUUUCGACGAGUCGAGUUGUUUGGGAAUGCAGCUCAAAAUGGGUGGUAAAUUUCAUCUAAAGCUAAAUAUUG